UACAGAGGUCUCAAGCGUUGUUCGGAUUCAUUGGGCGUAAAGGGUGCGUAGGCGGCGCGGUAAGUCGGGUGUGAAAAUCUCGGAGCUUAACUCCGAAAACUGCAUUCGAUACUGCCGUACUUGAGGACUGGAGAGGAGACUGGAAUUUUACGGUGUAGCGGUGAAAAUGCGUAGAUAUCGUAAGGAAGACCAGUGGCGAAGGCGGGUCUCUGGACAGUUCCUGACGCUGAGGCACGAAGGUCAGGGAGCAAACGGG
rnacentral:rRNA from 1 species